rnacentral:rRNA from 1 species
GAUGAACGCUGGCGGCGUGCUUAACACAUGCAAGUCGAACGAUGAAGCCCAGCUUGCUGGGUGGAUUAGUGGCGAACGGGUGAGUAACACGUGAGUAACCUGCCCUUGACUCUGGGAUAAGCCCGGGAAACUGGGUCUAAUACCGGAUAGGAGCGCCUGUCGCAUGACGGGUGUUGGAAAGAUUUUUCGGUCAUGGAUGGACUCGCGGCCUAUCAGCUUGUUGGUGAGGUAAUGGCUCACCAAGGCGACGACGGGUAGCCGGCCUGAGAGGGUGACCGGCCACACUGGGACUGAGACACGGCCCAGACUCCUACGGGAGGCAGCAGUGGGGAAUAUUGCACAAUGGGCGGAAGCCUGAUGCAGCGACGCCGCAUGAGGGAUGACGGCCUUCGGGUUGUAAACCUCUUUCAGUAGGGAAGAAGCGAAAGUGACGGUACCUGCAGAAGAAGCACCGGCUAACUACGUG